rnacentral:rRNA from 1 species
UACAGAGACUGCAAGCGUUAUUCGGAUUCACUGGGCGUAAAGGGUGCGCAGGCGGCCAAGUGUGUGAGGCGUGAAAGCCUGGAGCUUAACUCCAGAAUUGCACCUCAAACUACAUGGCUAGAGCAUUGGAGAGGGAAGCGGAAUUCCGGGUGUAGCGGUGAAAUGCGUAGAUAUCAGGAGGAACACCGGUGGCGAAGGCGGCCCUCUGGACGGAUACUGACGCUGAGACGCGACAGCGUGGGGAGCAAACAGG